rnacentral:lncRNA from 1 species
UAAAAUUUACUUAUGAUUCAAUCUCUGAAGUAAAAAACAUCUGUAGGCAGGGUUAGAAUGGAAGUGAAUAAGGAUACAAUGCAAAAAGAAACAUUAUUACCAGGAUAAUAUAUUGUACAUAAUAAAUGCAUAAACUGACCAAAUAAUCACACAAAAGUAUGUACACAAAUUACUAUGAUCAUUGGAGUAACCUUUCAUUUGCCUAUUAGUGACAUCUAAUCGCCUAAGACAAAUUGAUCAGGCAAUUUAAAUAUGAGACUUAAGUCUCUGCCUCAUCUCUUUAUCUAAUACAUGAUUUCUCAGAUGCAACAUCGAUUAGAAAUCUUAAAUCAAUUUAUCUGAAUCAGUCUUUUUUUCAAUCUUAGAUAAACAAAAAUUAGGAGUCAUAAUUCAACUGUAGAAAGCUCAAUCAGAACAAUCUCUGCUCCUCUUCUAAGUGUGACUCAGCUACUCAGGACGUCCAACUCCUAAAUGCAUUCGCAGGAAUUCCCCAAAGCAUGCGAAAAUGAUGUCCUUCUUCUGCCCAUCAUAUUCACAGCAGCUGAUCUCUUCCUCACAUCUCCUUGGUCUUGCACAGCAGCGAAAGCGGCAUCAUCUGCAGCCCCUCUCACUGUAUUUUUAGUACAGAGAUAGAAAGAGAGAUCCAGUGAGAGGUUGGUGAGGGCUGCAGAUGAU